GAACUAGUAUGCAAGUCAUUACUACUUUGACGUUAGAGGGUGAAGAUCGCCUCUUUGGAACAUCUAUACUCAUGGCUUCCUCACAUCUGGUUCGCAGCCGGGACAGGUUUCGAAAAUAAAAAAAUGCAGGUGAGUUUUUGCCGCUUCCGCUCCAGAUUUGUGUGUGGGUAGGAGGCCACUAUAUCUUGUAUUGUAAACCACAGCCGAAGCCUAAGAACCUUUAACCGGGCGUACAUAGCAUUUCUCAGAAACAAGCAAACAAUAUAGUGAACAUCACCUUUACACUACCAUCCUCCGGAAAUUGCUUGAGAAUAUUUUUUCCAUGCUAUAUUCAAAAUGUUGCAGAAAACCCCGAAGAGACUUCAAAAGUCUCAAAAGGGCAUAGUCUGAAAUGUUUAGCUUUCCAUCCAUAUUCAGCUGCCAACAAUGUAUGAAAUACUUAAUUUGACACCAGAAAAUAAAAUAAAUGAGGAUUAGGAAUAUUUGAUAAUUGUUAAAACGAGGGAGUAACCGAUCUAAUUCAAUUUUCAAAAUUAUGCAUUCGACUAAACAGAUAUUGUUGAAUAUCCUGUCCAUGUUACACAAUUCUUAACUCCGGACAUUAUAUUUUGCCAUUGUAAAGUACAUCAUGGCACAAACAUGUUGCCGGAAACAUUUUUUUCUGGCAAAUAUAGUUACAGUAGUUUGUAAUUGCGUUAUCGGAGUUAUUUGCUAUGAUACACUGCUGUCUGUGAGUUACUAUUUUCGAAACGCUGCAUCUAAUCUUAAGUUUAAGAAGGAGUUCAUAAACAUCCCAUUAAAUUGCAUCUCAGGUACUGUAUGUCACCGCUAAAUACCUUAGGUAUAAGUCUGACAUUAGGAUUCCACAGUUAAUUUAUAAAUCCUUAAACCACAUUUUAAAAUGUAUUAAUCCUUAAAAAUUAAAAAUGUUUUGUCACUAUACUGUACAUCUGUACCUAAAAUCAAACUAUGGGAUUAAAGACUUUAAAUACUUGGA